UUUCCCUGCCCUAACGCUAACCCCUUCCCUCAUCACACGCCGAUUUUCCUUCUCCUCUAUUCUCGCUCGCCGCUCACCCACCCUAAGUGCCGCUCCGAUCCUCUCCCUUUCUCUUCCCUUAGCUGCUCUCGUCAUCGCUGCUUUUCUCCUUGCUCCUCCCUAAUCUGCUCUCGUCGGCGCUCCUCUCCCUUUCUCCUCCCUCUACUCUCGUUCGUUGCCGCUCCUCUCCCUAAUCUGCUCUCAUUGUCGCUGGGAUCUUCACCCACGCUCACGCAUACCUGUGCCGCCGUCAGCCUCCACCAUGAUUCCUCCACAGCACUGCCUACAUGCCGUGAUUCUGCCUUUCUCCUCCCAAACUCAUUCUUGUCGUUGCUGCUCCCUAAUCUGCGGAUCUCACCGUGAUUUGUUGUGGAUUGGAAGUUUUGAUAGUCACCUUGCUCCUUUCUACAUAAUCGAAUCAAACAGAUAUUAGAUCAUCAUGGUGUCACCUGGAAUAUCCACUAAAAGCAACAUGAUCAUCAGAAAACUACAACAUACUCAAAGAUAAACUAAAAUUUCACAUGAUCUUGUUAUACCAACAGAAGUCCAGGUGACAGGUACUUGGAUUUUGCAUAUGAUGGUUGAAGAUGAUUGAUAGUAAAUUGUUGAGUUUUUAUUUUAUAAGACUUUGUUAGUUUUAAAACUCAAUAAUUUGUUAGUAUUUAGUUAGCAUUGGAUUCUAUACUUUUACAUUAGUAUUGCAUUUGUACUUUUGUGAAGAUGGGAUGAAUUGUGAUGAUAUGGUAAAUGAAUUGGAUAUUUUGGAUAUAAAAAUGUUUCUAUUCUUAUUAUGGUGAAUGGUGA